rnacentral:rRNA from 1 species
UACAGAGGGUGCAAGCGUUAAUCGGAUUUACUGGGCGUAAAGCGUGUGUAGGUGGCUCGCUAAGUCGGUUGUGAAAUCCCCGGGCUCAACCUGGGAAUUGCGAUGGAGACUGCAAGGCUAGAAUCUGGCAGAGGGGGGUAGAAUUCCACGUGUAGCAGUGAAAUGCGUAGAGAUGUGGAGGAACACCGAUGGCGAAGGCAGCCCCCUGGGUCAAGAUUGACGCUCAUGCACGAAAGCGUGGGGAGCAAACAGG